rnacentral:rRNA from 1 species
UACGAAGGGUGCAAGCGUUACUCGGAAUUACUGGGCGUAAAGCGUGCGCAGGCGGCUUCUCAAGUCAGGGGUGAAAGCCCAGAGCUCAACUCUGGAAUUGCCUUUGAGACUGAGUGGCUUGAGUACGGGAGAGGUGAGUGGAAUUCCCAGUGUAGAGGUGAAAUUCGUAGAUAUUGGGAAGAACACCGGUGGCGAAGGCGGCUCACUGGCCCGUAACCGACGCUCAUGCACGACAGCGUGGGGAUCAAACAGG